UGAGAUGUUGGGUUAAGUCCCGCAACGAGCGCAACCCUUGUCAUUAGUUGCUACAUUCAGUUGAGCACUCUAAUGAGACUGCCGGUGACAAACCGGAGGAAGGUGGGGAUGACGUCAAGUCCUCAUGGCCCUUAUAGGUGGGGCUACACACGUCAUACAAUGGCUGGUACAGAGGGUUGCCAACCCGCGAGGGGGAGCUAAUCCCAUAAAACCAGUCGUAGUCCGGAUCGCAGUCUGCAACUCGACUGCGUGAAGUCGGAAUCGCUAGUAAUCGCGGAUCAGCAUGCCGCGGUGAAUACGUUCCCGGGUCUUGUACACACCGCCCGUCACACCAUGGGAGCGGGUCUCGCCAGAAGUAGGUAGCCUAACCGCAAGGAGGG
rnacentral:rRNA from 1 species